AGCAGAUUACCCAGGUCUUGCACCUGGAUCAUUGGGCUGCCCUAAUUAAGUAUAUAAAAAAUGAAGGGGCAGCUAAAGAAAAAUAAAAAGACACCUGAGAAGGUAGCCUGCCUCUUCGACAAGGGACACAUUACAGGAACCUCUGAGAACUUUCAGCAAUAAAAAGACAAGAUAACAAGGGAAACUGGUGGGAAGCCAAAGGUUUUAAGAGGUGAGAGUGGGGAAACGCUGUGCUUUUAUUGACCUUCUCCAAAGGAACAACCUUAAGAAAAGCAUGAUAGAAAUUGGCACUAAUCAUCAUAAAAGAGGAAUGACAGCCAAGCCAGCGAGGAAUUUUGGGGUUCAUUUUGAAGACUUGUGCACUCUUGACCUGGUCACAAACACUGCAUUCACCCAUCCCCACUUGAAAAUACAUCUUUUUUUUUUUUUUUAAGCUUCUCACCUCCAAUAUCUACUAAGACAGACUUGUGCAAGGAGUGAACUAGUAUUGUAUCUGCUAAUUUCUUUGCAGGCAAAAAUCAAGUUACCAGAAAAGUAUUUCUUAAAAACCACAUACAGUCUAAGAGCACUGAAACAUUUUGAAUCAUUUGCCUUUUCUCAACGCUGGAUUUUAAGCAAGGAACAAGACUAUUUCAGUUCCAAAUGCUUUAAUGAGCAAGGAGUAUUGGCUUUUAGCACCAAAAAGAUCUAUCCCCACUCUGAAGCUUUAACUUGAGUAGCUGCUGUGCUUUGUAAAACUUCAAUCUAAUUCAUCUGAUAACUACAAUUACCAAACCUGGGAAGUGCUGACUACACAGUUCAAAAAAACAGCGUGGAGGAAAGACCUGCUGGGAACCUUAGAAUCGACAGAUAAGCUCUUUAAGUGAUUUAAAGUAAUAAACAACUUCAAUUGAAAGG